GCGUGAGUGAUGAAGGCCUUAGGGUUGUAAAGCUCUUUCGCACGCGACGAUAAUGACGGUAGCGUGAGAAGAAGCCCCGGCUAACUUCGUGCCAGCAGCCGCGCUAAUACGAAGGGGGCUAGCGUUCUUCGGAAUCACUGGGCGUAAAGGGUGCGCAGGCGGGUUCAUAAGUCAGGGGUGAAAUCCCGAGGCUCAUCCUCGGAACUGCCUUUGAUACUGUGGAUCUUGAGUCCGGAAGAGGUGAGUGGAACUGCGAGUGUAGAGGUGAAAUUCGU
rnacentral:rRNA from 1 species